rnacentral:rRNA from 1 species
GACGAACGCUGGCGGCGUGCUUAACACAUGCAAGUCGAACGGAAAGGCCCUGCUUUUGUGGGGUGCUCGAGUGGCGAACGGGUGAGUAACACGUGAGUAACCUGCCCUUGACUUUGGGAUAACUUCAGGAAACUGGGGCUAAUACCGGAUAGGAGCUCCUGCUGCAUGGUGGGGGUUGGAAAGUUUCGGCGGUUGGGGAUGGACUGGCGGCUUAUCAGCUUGUUGGUGGGGUAGUGGCUUACCAAGGCUUUGACGGGUAGCCGGCCUGAGAGGGUGACCGGCCACAUUGGGACUGAGAUACAGCCCAGACUCCUACGGGAGGCAGCAGUGGGGAAUAUUGCACAAUGGGCGGAAGCCUGAUGCAGCAACGCCGCGUGCGGGAUGACGGCCUUCGGGUUGUAAACCGCUUUCGCCUGUGACGAAGCGUGAGUGACGGUAAUGGGUAAAGAAGCACCGGCUAACUACGUG